rnacentral:sRNA from 1 species
UGGAAAAGAAAAAAAAGAUAUUUGAACAUUCAACAUUUUGUGUGUGGUUAAACUUAAGUUGGAAUCGGAUUGUUUUUUCUUGUGUGUGUGUGUGUGUGUGUGUGUGUGCAGUGCUGGGGAUGGAACCCGGGGCCUCACAUAUGUUGCCAAAGGCUCUAC